AAAGAAGUAAUGCAAGAGCGUAUGGGGGAUGCCUAGGCUCUCAGAGGCGAUGAAGGACGUGACAAACUGCGAUAAGCUGCGGGGAUUGGUUAAUACGAAUUGAUCCGCAGAUUUCCGAAUGGGGGAACCCACUCCAAUGAAGUUGGAGUCAUCUCUAUAAGAGAAGCAAACCUGGGGAACUGAAACAUCUUAGUACCCAGAGGAAAAGAAAACAAUUAGUGAUUCCGUUAGUAGUGGCGAGCGAAAGCGGAAGAGCCCAAACCAUAGUAGUUACGGCUACUGUGGGGUUGUAGGACUAACAACAAGUUUAAUUGAAAGAACUUAAAUUAUCUGGAAAGAUAAGCCAUAGAAGGUGAAAGCCCUGUCAAGGUAAUUGAAAUUAAGCGAGUUAGUAUCCUGAGUAGAUCGGUUCCGGUGAAAAACCGAUUGAAUCAGCCAGCACCAUCUGGCAAGGCUAAAUACUACUGAGAGACCGAUAGUGAACUAGUACCGUGAGGGAAAGGUGAAAAGUACCCUGAAUAAGGGAGUGAAAAGUACCUGAAACCAUACGCUUACAAGCGGUCGGAGCUUCUGAUUUAUCAUGAAGUGACGGCGUGCCUUUUGCAUAAUGAGCCUACGAGUUAGUCUUCUUUGGCAAGGUUAAUCCUCUUGAGAGGAGCAGCCGAAGCGAAAGCGAGUCUGAAUAGGGCGAUUUAGUCAUAGAAGCUAGACGCGAAACCUGGUGAUCUACCCAUGGCCAGGCUGAAGCGCUGGUAAAACAGCGUGGAGGGCCGAACCGGUGGACGUUGCAACAUCCUCGGAUGAGCUGUGGGUAGGGGUGAAAGGCUAAUCAAACCAGGAAAUAGCUCGUACUCUCCGAAAUGCUUUUAGGAGCAGCCUUAAAUGUAUACUAACAGAGGUAGAGCUACCGAUAGGAUAGGGGGGAGUAAUAUCCUACCAUAUCUAGACGAACUCCGAAUACUGUUAGUUUUGUUUAGGAGUGAGGGCUAGGGUGCUAAGGUCCUAGUCCGAGAGGGAAAGAACCCAGACCAUCAGCUAAGGCCCCAAAAUAUAUGCUAAGUUGAACAAAGGAAGUCCAGUUACUAAGACAGCCAGGAUGUUGGCUUGGAAGCAGCCAUUCAUUCAAAGAGUGCGUAACAGCUCACUGGUCGAGUGACAGCGCGCCAACAAUAAACGGGCAUCAAGCAUAUUGCCGAAGCUAUGGCUCUAUUACUAUAGGUAAUAGGGGGUAGGAGAGCAUUCUAAUCAAGUUGAAGUAGCAAGGAGACUUGUUAUGGAUUUUUUAGAAAAGAAAAUGUAGGCAUAAGUAACGUUAAUGCUGGUGGAAAACCAGCACACCGAAAGACUAAGGUUUCCAUGGCUAUGCUAAUCAUCCAUGGGUUAGUCGGAACCUAAGCUGUAGCCGAACGGCGUAAGCGAUGGACAAUCGGUUAAUAUUCCGAUACUAGCUAAUAAUAGAAAAGGGGGGACGAAGAAGUGAAAGGUCUGCCUCGUGACGAAAUACGAGGUUGAAGCCAGUAAGUAUAGGUCUGGGAGGCAAAUCCCCCGGGUCUGCUGAAGGUAAUAGUACUGCAAUCCUUCGGGAAAGCAGAUAAUGACCCUAAUCAUACUUCCAAGAAAAGCCUCUAAUCGUUACAUUGUUAGCUAUCCGUACCGUAAACCGACACUGGUAGUCGAGGAGAGAAUCCUAAGGUGUUCGAGUGAUUCUUGGCCAAGGAACUCGGCAAAUUUGCCCUGUAACUUCGGGAAAAAGGGUGCCUCCUCUCUUGUCUUCGGAUAAGCGAGAGGUCGCAGUGAAAAGGCCCAAGCGACUGUUUACCAAAAACACAUGGCUUUGCAAAAUCGAAAGAUAAAGUAUAAGGCCUGAUACCUGCCCGGUGCUGGAAGGUUAAGGAGAGAUGUCAGUCUUCGGACAAAGCAUUGAACUGAAGCCCCAGUAAACGGCGGCCGUAACUAUGACGGUCCUAAGGUAGCGAAAUUCCUUGUCGGGUAAAUUCCGACCUGCACGAAUGGUUUAACGACUUGGGCACUGUCUCGGUCAAGAGCUCGGUGAAAUUGUAGUAGCGGUGAAGAUGCCGCUUACCCGCAACGGGACGAAAAGACCCCAUGAACCUUUACUAUAGCUUAACAUUGGCAAUAUGUAUAUCAUGUGUAGGAUAGGUGGGAGACUAUGAAGCUGUGUCGCUAGGCAUGGUGGAGUCAACGUUGAAAUACCACCCUUGAUAUAUGUGUUACCUCACUCCUGAGAGCAGGAGGACAGUGUUUGGUGGGUAGUUUGACUGGGGCGGUCGCCUCCUAAAAAGUAACGGAGGCUUUCAAAGGUACCCUCAGCACGAAUGGUAACCGUGCAUAGAGUGCAAUAGCAUAAGGGUGCUUGACUGUGAGACUUACAAGUCGAUCAGGAUCGAAAGAUGGAUAUAGUGAUCCGGUGGUUCCACAUGGAAGGGCCAUCGCUAAAAGGAUAAAAGGUACUCUGGGGAUAACAGGCUAAUCUCUCCCAAGCGCCCAUAGCGACGGGGAGGUUUGGCACCUCGAUGUCGGCUCGUCACAUCCUGGGGCUGAAGAAGGUCCCAAGGGUUGGGCUGUUCGCCCAUUAAAGUGGCACGCGAGCUGGGUUCAGAACGUCGUGAGACAGUUCGGUCUCUAUCUGUUGUGGGCGUUAGAAGUUUGAGGGGAGCUGACCCUAGUACGAGAGGACCGGGUUGGGCAAACCGCUGGUGUAUCAGUUGUGACGUCAGUUGCAUCGCUGAGUAACUACGUUUGUAAGAGAUAAGUGCUGAAAGCAUCUAAGCACGAAACUCACCUCAAGAUGAGACUUCUUAAGGGUGGUCAUAGACGAUGACCUUGAUAGGUUGCAGGUGUAAAGCCAGAAAUGGCAAAGCUGAGCAAUACUAAUUACCCGAUAGCUUCUUUUU
rnacentral:rRNA from 1 species